CCUACGGGAGGCAGCAGUGGGGAAUAUUGGGCAAUGGGCGCAAGCCUGACCCAGCAACGCCGCGUGAAGGAAGAAGGCUUUCGGGUUGGAAACUUCUUUUAUCAGGGACGAAGCAAGUGACGGUACCUGAUGAAUAAGCCACGGCUAACUACGGGCCAGCAGCCGCGGUAAUACGUAGGUGGCAAGCGUUAUCCGGAUUUACUAGGUGUAAAGGGCGUGUAGGCGGGAUUGCUAUGCAGAUGUGAAAACUAUGGGCUCAACCCAUAACCUGCAUUUGAAACUGUACUUAUUGAGUGCUGGAGAGGCAAUCGGAAUUCCGGGGGUAGCGGUGAAAUGCGUAGAGAUACGGAGGAACACCAGUGGCGAAGGCGGAUUGCUGGACAGUAACUGACGCUGAGGCGCGAAAGCGUGGGGAGCAAACAGGAUUAGAUACCCGGGUAGUC
rnacentral:rRNA from 1 species